CAUGCAAGUCGAACGGUCUAUUUAUAUACAGUGGCAGACGGGUCAGUAACACGUGGAUGACCUACCUCAAAGCCAGGACAAAACCAUAAGAAAUUAUGGCUAACACCUGAUAGUCUUGUUCUGUGCAAACAGAAUUAGUAAAGAUUUAUCACUUUGAGAGGGGUCCGCGUCCUAUCAGCUAGUAGGUGUGAUAAAGCGCACCUAGGCUAUGACGGGUAGGCGGGGUGAGAGCCCGAUCGCCGACAAGGGAAUUGAGAACGGUCCCUACUCC
rnacentral:rRNA from 1 species